GGUGCCUGCUUUCUCUUCUGCCAUAACUAAUUGUUGAUUGCAAACACAAGUGCAUGUGAGUGUAGAGGGACAGGCCUGCUCUCUGUAUCCCUCUCCUGGCCCUCCCUGUGCUUUUGCUUUGGUCAGCAGGCUAAAGGAGGAGGACUCUGUAUCUUGCUGCACCUUCUUAGCUUGGAUUCUUUGAUGAAACACCACCAUAUUGGAGCAUUCCACCUGCCAAAGAACUGAAGGCAAGCUUCAGCCAACAGCCAGCAAGGAACUAAAAUCUUCAGCCCAAAGCCACAGGGAACUGAGUCCUGCCAACCGCCACAUCAGUGAGCAUAGAUGGGAUCCUCCACAGUUGAACUUUCAGAUGAGACCAGAGCCACACCUGACAAUUUGAUUGCAGCCUUGCAGGCAACCCUGAAGCAGAGGACCCAGUUCAAUCAUGCUGGGAUUCCUGACCCACAGAAUCCAUGAGAAAAUAAAUGUGUGUG
rnacentral:lncRNA from 1 species